GACCUUGAGGAGAGCCUAGCACAAUUCACAUAUCUCUGUAAAACAGGUAAUGGUCACACAGUUCACUGGAGAAAAUUGAUUGUGUCACAGUGAAUGAACUGCUGCUGGGCUGAUCAGCCUCACUGAAGUCAAGGUUUGCACUCAAGUGCCGCUAGUUUGGAGUUAUGUGUCAGGUAUAAUUUAAUACUGGGAACCCAGAAGUAUCUGAUCACGCUUUGGAGAGAGCCUAACUACUCUGUUCUGCAUGUCAAAUUAACUACCCAGUAGUGAGCUCCCCCAGCUAAAUGAUCACCCGUUGGCCAGCUGCCACACCACAAAGCUCCCCAUACAACCGUCUCAAAAAUGGAAACUUGUUAUUCUGGAGCUGCCCUGUGAAUACCCGUUCUGUCAAGGCUGGAGGGAAAUAUUUGGGGCAGGCAGGCUGAGAAAACAGAGAGGUGUUGGGUGUCAGAAUUGAUUUAAAUGGGCUGCAGCUUUGCACAGGAGCACUGGAGCUCAGCAGCCAGAGGAUGGGAGGUAGCCAGGGCAGGGGGCUCAGGGACAGGAGAAAGUGCACUAGAGAUAAGCCUUGAAUGCCCAAGAGUUUCAUUUGGUUGAAACAACAGAGCAUUGUCUGUUCCCACAUGAUGUGUGAGGCCCUCCUAAUUUUCACAAUCAUUAACAGGUAACUUCUGCAUUUACUGAACAACUUCCUGUGUACUGCUGCUGGUAAAUCAAUAGACACGGCUCCCUGGGGACCCUUACAGUCCAAACUGCCAGGGGACCUGGCAGUGACUGCUCAUGAGGCCUCCCUGAAGAUCUUCUGAGGGUGUUGAGCACUUCUGGGUGCUUCUCUGCCAGAGACCCCUGUGUCCCUAAAGCCUCUGCCUUAUCCAAAUGAGGGUGUGUUGUGUAACCUCUUUUGGCAGCCUGUCCUACUGCUUUACUGCCCUCACUGACUGAGCUUCAGCUGCCUGAGAGGUUUUCAAUGCUUUUAUGCCACCAGAAGGCAGAGGAAAGAGAACAUAUAUAGGAGAGAUGACAGAAAGUGCACCACUAUAAGUCAACUGUUUGUUCUAUAACCUUUUCAUUGGCCAUGGGCCACCCAAAUCAGAUCACAUCAGAUAACAUAACACAAUAACUUUACACAAGAUGUUUUUAGACUACUGGCUGCUGUCACACAGAUGCCAUGAAGUAAACUCACUAACUUAAAUAUAGGGUGAAGUGUAGCUGCUUAUGCACUGUUAAGCAAAGAAACUGUCUUCUUGCUAUGUGCAUUCUUAAAUUCCAAGGGUCAGUCUAGGGCACACCACCCUGUUCCCUGCUUUCUUCCCUCAGGAUGCUAGAAAUAGACCAUUCAACAGGGCAUUCUGGAGAGAAAUGUCUUUGCUGGUGUAGAUCCAUCACCAAGAAACACCACUCUUCCUCUAUCCUCUGAAAGCCACAUACUUCAUUAACCCUACAGGUUAAGCAUCUGAACACUAGGAGUGACUCUGAUGAUGCCAACACAAUCACAGGAAAAGCUGACCAGGUCCACAAGAAACAUGGAGAGAUUGUUGCACACAGAAAUCCACAUCGUGUCAUGAUGAGCUAAAGCCUACAGGGGUGAAACUGAACCUUUGUUCUUCUUCUCAUGGUGUGCUGUCCAACACACGGAACAGUCAGAGAGAUAUCCUUGGAAACAGAUACAUACACCUGCCAUUUUGUUCAGGUGGACUUGACCUAUAUGACUAUUUUCUUAGCCAUAAUAUGAUACUAAUUCUUCAUGUUUUCAAAUUGUUUUACUUCCCCAAUUUCCAACAUCCAUUGAAUGUCACCUCCAGUCUAUGAUAUUUAAUCUGAGCUGAGAGAUAUUUAAUCUGAGCUGAGACAAGUAACAGGAACCCUAGGUAAAUAUGAUAGUUAUAAAUAUAAUUAAAUUUUCUUCCAAUUCUUUUCUGAAACUGUUGCCAGCCUUGGCAAAGUUACCUACAUUAAAUAGUUUCUCCCCUA